UACGUAGGGUGCAAGCGUUGUCCGGAAUUAUUGGGCGUAAAGAGCUCGUAGGCGGUCUGUCGCGUCUGCUGUGAAAACUCGGGGCUUAACCCCGGGCCUGCAGUGGGUACGGGCAGACUAGAGUGUGGUAGGGGAGGACUGGAAUUCCUGGUGUAGCGGUGAAAUGCGCAGAUAUCAGGAGGAACACCGAUGGCGAAGGCAGGUCUCUGGGCCACUACUGACGCUGAGAAGCGAAAGCAUGGGGAGCAAACAGG
rnacentral:rRNA from 1 species